CAGAGAGCUUGCUCUCGGGUGACGAGUGGCGGACGGGUGAGUAAUGUCUGGGAAACUGCCUGAUGGAGGGGGAUAACUACUGGAAACGGUAGCUAAUACCGCAUAACGUCGCAAGACCAAAGAGGGGGACCUUCGGGCCUCUUGCCAUCAGAUGUGCCCAGAUGGGAUUAGCUAGUAGGUGGGGUAACGGCUCACCUAGGCGACGAUCCCUAGCUGGUCUGAGAGGAUGACCAGCCACACUGGAACUGAGACACGGUCCAGACUCCUACGGGAGGCAGCAGUGGGGAAUAUUGCACAAUGGGCGCAAGCCUGAUGCAGCCAUGCCGCGUGUAUGAAGAAGGCCUUCGGGUUGUAAAGUACUUUCAGCGGGGAGGAAGGUGUUGUGGUUAAUAACCGCAGCAAUUGACGUUACCCGCAGAAGAAGCACCGGCUAACUCCGUGCCAGCAGCCGCGGUAAUACGGAGGGUGCAAGCGUUAAUCGGAAUUACUGGGCGUAAAGCGCACGCAGGCGGUCUGUCAAGUCGGAU
rnacentral:rRNA from 1 species